CCUACGGGGUGCAGCAGUGGGGAAUAUUGGGCAAUGGGCGCAAGCCUGACCCAGCAACGCCGCGUGAAGGAAGAAGGCUUUCGGGUUGUAAACUUCUUUUCUCAGGGACGAAGCAAGUGACGGUACCUGAGGAAUAAGCCACGGCUAACUAUGUGCCAGCAGCCGCGGUAAUACGUAGGUGGCAAGCGUUAUCCGGAUUUACUGGGUGUAAAGGGCGUGUAGGCGGGACUGCAAGUCAGAUGUGAAAACCACGGGCUCAACCUGUGGCCUGCAUUUGAAACUGUAGUUCUUGAGUGCUGGAGAGGCAGACGGAAUUCCUAGUGUAGCGGUGAAAUGCGUAGAUAUUAGGAGGAACACCAGUGGCGAAGGCGGCUUUCUGGCUCAUAACUGACGCUGAGGCGCGAAAGCGUGGGGAGCAAACAGGAUUAGAUACCCGGGUAGUC
rnacentral:rRNA from 1 species